CUGGUCUCGUGCCGAGAAGCUGGGCGCGCUGGAAAGCACUCAGGAAGUGGAAAGCAUUGUGGAGCAAGCCCUGAAACUGUACAGCGCUGACAGGGUUGGAUUGGUGGAUUAUGCACUGGAAUCUGCUGCCGGAGGUUCAUCCUGGGAACUGUUGGCCAUUUAAAGGCUCCCAAGGCUUUGUUGUCAUCGAGCUUGCUGUCUGGAUCAGGCCUACAGCCUUUACCCUGGAGCACAUUCCAAAAUCCAUUUCUCCGCAUGGAUCAAUUAGUAGUGCCCCUCAAGACUUCUCUG